UUUUUGGAAUGAAAAUCCGAAGUUUAUUUUUAUUUUUUACCAGGGCCAUCCUCGCUUGUGUUUCAGAGGCAAGGGCUUUUGCAAACAGCAGAUAAAUUAGAACAUCUACAGCAAUAUCAAUAGAAUCCUUUAAUGCCAUCUUUAAGGCUUAAUACUAAGAGAGAGAUUCUAGAAAUCAGAUCUUAACAAGUCCUGAGCCAUCGGGGAGUAUUGCAUACAACUCAGAGCAUAUUAUAAGAUACCCAAAAGGGCAAAACGGUAUACGCGGAAGAUUUUCUGCGAACAGGUCUACAUUGUUAAUAACCCACCUAAGGCAAAAACGAUUUUUAGAAAAAAAAUCAAAUCUCAACCAAGAAGUUGGUAAAUGACAUGUGAAUAAGAUCAGAUGUACUGGAGGAUAUGUUAAAGCUUUCUAUGAAUACCCAUUGCCCAUGGCGAACAUAA
rnacentral:sRNA from 1 species